CGUGUCCCGGCGUUUUGCUCGUGUGUGAGUCCGCUGGUCCUGGUUGUUGUUUCAGAGUCGGCUGAAGACUGAUCGCUCACCUCCUGCACACCGUCCGCCUGCCUCCAUCUCCUCUGAAGUGUGAUGUGGUCUCAAACACAACUCAAACACAGUGUAGAUCUGCUGUGUCCCCCCUCUCCCCCCGUCUCGGAGUGACCCAUGUUUGCUCCGGUGGUGUCCUGGGUGAUAUUAAAGUUUCUGUCAGAGCACAAUGCAUCAAGGACGUGUAUUUGUUAAAUAAGAUCGGACGGGAAAAUUGAUUCUUUCCUGGCGUCGUGUGCCGAGAGACGCUGAACUAAAUGUCUCCAUCGGCCGAGUGUCAAAUGAGCUGCUUGUAAAACCAAGGCUCCAUUCUCACUAUCGGUCAUGUGACACGCAGAGGACGUGUGGUCACAUCACCUCGGCUCAAAAGCUCUCCAGACAGACGCAACGAUCGGGGUUUUAAAUGCGCUGCUUGUGACGUUCCGCUGCAGAGUCGAUCGUUGUGCCUGAAGUCGGGGAAGCUGAAGCUGGUCUCUGGAAACAGGCAGAAACGGCCCGCUGGGCUUCAUCCAGCCGUCACACAAUCAACCAGCGGCCCGUUUGAAGCUGAAUUCAUACGUCACACUCUCUCCUGGCGGGACGCCGUUGCCAGGCAACCUCAGUCUGACGGGUCUGACUCGUCCUGAAUUAUUAAGAACCUGCGAAUCCUCCUUUUUACAGCAGAAUCAGAUGUUUGAGAUGGAAGUUUUGACUUCGAUGGAUGUUUUGUCACCAGUGGAUUUUUAAAUCUGUCCCCAAUUGCGGUGGCAGCUUUAAAAAGUUUAAAAGAAGAAGCUGACAGCUGAAACCAAACCAAUCAAAAGUGAAUGUAAGAUAAGAUAAGAUGUUCCUUUAUUAGUCCCACAGUGGGGAAAUUCACUGGAUCGCAGCAGCCAAGUGGACAGUGCACCAGAUCCAUGGUAAAAACCAGCGCAGCAGCAUAAUGAUCAUGAUGCAAAUGA
ensembl:lncRNA